UACGUAGGUGGCAAGCGUUGUCCGGAAUUACUGGGCGUAAAGGAUGUGUAGGCGGAUAUUUAAGUGAGAUGUGAAAAUCCCCGGGCUUAACCUGGGGGCUGCAUUUCAAACUGGGUAUCUAGAGUGCAGGAGAGGAAAGCGGAAAUUCCUAGUGUAGCGGUGAAAUGCGUAGAUAUUAGGAAGAACAUCAGUGGCGAAGGCG
rnacentral:rRNA from 1 species